rnacentral:misc_RNA from 1 species
UAAUCAAUGAUUUUACUUGACAUGAAAUGGCAUCAAUUUUGGAACAACCCUGAUAGAGUGAGGAACAUAGAAAAACUAAACAGACGAAAUGGGGAAGAAUUGAAACUGUACUAUUUGAUAAGAAUGGUAGUAAGCCUUGUUGAAGUACAAAUAUUCACUCUCUUCCCUUAAUACAAAAAUAAAACAUAAAGGUAGCAGACAAGAAAA